GACGAACGCUGGCGGCGUGCCUAAUACAUGCAAGUUGAGCGCUGAAGGUUGGUACUUGUACCAACUGGAUGAGCAGCGAACGGGUGAGUAACGCGUGGGGAAUCUGCCUUUGAGCGGGGGACAACAUUUGGAAACGAAUGCUAAUACCGCAUAAAAACUUUAAACACAAGUUUUAAGUUUGAAAGAUGCAAUUGCAUCACUCAAAGAUGAUCCCGCGUUGUAUUAGCUAGUUGGUGAGGUAAAGGCUCACCAAGGCGAUGAUACAUAGCCGACCUGAGAGGGUGAUCGGCCACAGUGGGACUGAGACACGGCCCAAACUCCUACGGGAGGCAGCAGGAGGGAAUCUUCGGCAAUGGACGAAAGUCUGACCGAGCAACGCCGCGUGAGUGAAGAAGGGUUUCGGAUCGUAAAACUCUGUUGGUAGAGAAGAACGUUGGUGAGAGUGGAAAGCUCAUCAAGUGACGGUAACUACCCAGAAAGGGACGGCUAACUACGUG
rnacentral:rRNA from 1 species